rnacentral:rRNA from 1 species
UACAGAGGUCUCAAGCGUUGUUCGGAUUCAUUGGGCGUAAAGGGUGCGUAGGCGGCGCGGUAAGUCGGGUGUGAAAUUUCGAGGCUUAACUUCGAAACUGCAUUCGAUACUGCCGUGCUUGAGGACUGGAGAGGAGACUGGAAUUUACGGUGUAGCGGUGAAAUGCGUAGAUAUCGUAAGGAAGACCAGUGGCGAAGGCGGGUCUCUGGACCGGUACUGACGCUGAUGCGCGAAAGCGUGGGGAGCAAACGGG